rnacentral:rRNA from 1 species
UACGUAGGGUGCGAGCGUUAAUCGGAAUUACUGGGCGUAAAGCGUGCGCAGGCGGCUUUGCAAGACAGAUGUGAAAUCCCCGGGCUCAACCUGGGAACUGCAUUUGUGACUGCAAGGCUAGAGUACGGCAGAGGGGGCUGGAAUUCCGCGUGUAGCAGUGAAAUGCGUAGAUAUGCGGAGGAACACCAAUGGCGAAGGCAAUCCCCUGGGCCUGUACUGACGCUCAUGCACGAAAGCGUGGGGAGCAAACAGG